rnacentral:rRNA from 1 species
UACAGAGGGGGCGAGCGUUGUUCGGAAUUACUGGGCGUAAAGGGCGCGUAGGCGGCCCGCUAAGUCGAACGUGAAAUCCCCAGGCUUAACCUGGGAACUGCGUCCGAUACUGGCAGGCUUGAAUCCGGGAGAGGGAUGUGGAAUUCCAGGUGUAGCGGUGAAAUGCGUAGAUAUCUGGAGGAACACCGGUGGCGAAGGCGGAUCUCUGGGCCUUACCUGACGCUGAGGCGCGAAAGCUAGGGGAGCGAACAGG